GUUGUUUAGUUCAAAUUUUGAGGUUUAUGUAAAAUUAUUGUAUUUUAUUCUUUUGAAACUAUUUGUUGAAAGUUAUCGCGAGAUUUGCGUAUAUAAUAAGAAAGGUAGCAGGAUUUGCAUGAGAGAAGGAGCAGAAAUCUGGGAAAGAGUAGCAGUCUCGUAUUUCCUGUAGCUGUAAAGAGUGGACAAAGAAGAAUUAAUCUAUUAAAGACCUCCGAAGUGGCAGGCGGUCACGAGUUUUCACGGCAUUUAUUAAAGAGCCCGUUUUGAAGGAAGCCGUGCCAGUGUUGUCACUUUGGAGCAACAGUGAAAACUCCUCCAGCCAGCGC